rnacentral:tRNA from 1 species
CAGGACAUAGUUUAAUAGAAUUUUGGCUUUGGGAGUCAUUGGUGAAGGUUAAAUCCCUUCUGUCUUGA